GGGUCAGGAGGUUGGUCGUGCCACCGGUACGUACUGGUCUCACUGAUUCCUCCUUCCUGAAGAGCCGUAAUGCCAUUAAUUUGGUGUUGCGGGGAAACAGGACUGUUACUUUGAAAAAAUUAGAGUGUUUAAAGCAAGCUAACGCUUGAAUACAUUAGCAUGGAAUAAUGAAAUAGGACGAUCGAUCCUAUUUUGUUGGUUUCUAGGAUUGACGUA
rnacentral:rRNA from 1 species